AGGGUGUUGCUCUGAGCUGCACCACAGUAAAAUGGAUGAUCGCAUUGCUAAGGGUUUUGCUCUAAACUCCUUACUCAACGAGCUGUUAGAAGAAAAGAUUUCUACUCGGAGGAAAAAUCAUUGGAUACUUGGCCCUGAGGAUCUCAAUGAUACUCUUGUUUGUGAUUUUGAGAUCGAAGAAACAGCCUGAGCUUUUGUGUUAAUGCCUACAGGGUUGUGCUUUCACCUGUGAAUAAACAUUGCAGGUGAAAUUGUGGCUUUUAAAAA